CCUACGGGUGGCAGCAGUAGGGAAUCUUUCACAAUGGGCGAAAGCCUGAUGGAGCAACGCCGCGUGCAGGAUGAAGGCCUUCGGGUUGGAAACUGCUUUUAUAAGCGAGAAAUAUGAUGGUAACUGAUGAAUAAGGAUCGGCUAACUACGGGCCAGCAGCCGCGGUCAUACGUAGGAUCCGAGCAUUAUCCGGAGUGUGUGGGGGUAAAGGGCGUGUAGGCGGGCAAGCAAGUCAGAUGUGAAAACCAUGGGGUCAACCUGUGGCCUGCAUUUGAAACUGGUUUUCUUGAGUACUGGAGAGGCAGACGGAAUUCCUAGUGUAGCGGUGAAAUGCGUAGAUAUUAGGAGGAACACCAGUGGCGAAGGCGGUCUGCUGGCCAGCAACUGACGCUGAGGCGCGAAAGCGUGGGGAGCAAACAGGAUUAGAUACCCUGGUAGUC
rnacentral:rRNA from 1 species